UUCGUUUCGGAUUCAAAAAAAAUGUGUGUUUGUGUUGAGAACUGUUUAAAAACUGUUAGAGAGAAUUUACUGUGUUUUUGUUAGAUUACUUCAUAACGAUAGAAGUCGUAAAUAAAAUUCAUAAUCUAUUCAUUAGUAAUAUUUUAUAUAUGUAGCUGCAUCGCACCGGUCAAAAUUUAAAUAAAAUGCAAGCCUUUAAAAAAAGUAAUGAAUAUUUUAUUGUUGCUUCGUCCGCUAAAUAAACAACUUAAUCUGGGAAUCACCCGUUUCUAUUUGGUGUAUGAUAUGAGUUUCCUGGGUAAACCUGGAAAAGAUGAUCAAUCAACGAACAAACAGAGUCAAGCCCCCAACACCUGUUUUAAUAAUUUAUUUAUUAAACAAUGUAUUUAUUAAAAGAAAAUACAAUAUUGCUGAAUGAUUUAAAAAACAGUAGUGCGUUGGAAUUGAUUCAUUAAACUAUGUUGCUUUUAAAAUUGUAUUCACUUUUGCAUUUUCAUCGCUAAAAUUUAGUUUGGCAAUGUCAAAGUACAUACAAAUUGAUAGACUAGAAAAUUCUGUUACUGAAGGAACUUAUCUGAUGACUCUUCAAAAACCCUUUGGAUUUAAACGCGCAAAUACAAGAAGUUAUAAAGCCACAUCUCAACAAUGGACAUUUAAAUAUAAGCCCGGGUACUUUGCCUGAGGAAAGUGAAAUUGAUAAUCUUAAUUUUAAAGAUGAAGUUUUUAUUAAUAUUGGAGUUUUUGUCCAAAAUAAAUAUAUUCUAUCUGUGUUUUUUACUCAUUAAGUUUUGUUUACAUACAAAAAACUGUGUUCAGUCGAAAAUAAACAAUUUAUCAGUCAAUCAUUAUUAGUUUAAAAUCUUUUAAACAAAAUAAAUUACUAAAAAGUUAAUUUAUGUCAAGAA